AUGGUUUUGUCAAGCACCAUG
rnacentral:miRNA from 1 species